AGAAUCAGCGCUGGCGGCGUGCCUAACACAUGCAAGUCGAACGAGAAAGUGGAGCAAUCCAUGAGUAAAGUGGCGACCGGGUGAGUAACACGUGACUAACCUACCUUCGAGUGGGGGAUAACCUACGGGAAACCGAGGCUAAUACCGCAUAACAUCGCAAGAUCAAAAGCAGCAAUGCGCUUGGAGAGGAGUUCGCGGCAGAUUAGCUAGUUGGCGGGUAAUGGCCCACAAGGCGAUGAUCUGUA
rnacentral:rRNA from 1 species